rnacentral:rRNA from 1 species
CCUACGGGAGGCAGCAGUGAGGAAUAUUGGUCAAUGGCCGGAAGGCUGAACCAGCCAUGCCGCGUGAAGGUCAGUGCCCUAUGGGCGUUAAACUUCUUUUGUGCGGGAGCAAUAAUGGUCACGUGUGGCCAGACGAGAGUACCGUACGAAUAAGCAUCGGCUAACUCCGUGCCAGCAGCCGCGGUAAUAAGGGGGAUGCAAGCGUUAUCCGGAUUUAUUGGGUUUAAAGGGAGCGUAGGCUGUGAGGUAAGUCAGCGGGGAAAUGCCCCCGCUCAACGGGGUGAAGUGCCAUUGAUACUGCCUUGCUGGAGUGCGGAUGCGGUGAGAGGAAUGUGUGGUGUAGCGGUGAAAUGCAUAGAUAUCACGCAGAACACCGAUUGCGAAGGCAUCUCACGGAUC